CCUACGGGAGGCAGCAGUGAGGAAUAUUGGUCAAUGGGCGGAAGCCUGAACCAGCCAAGUCGCGUGAGGGAUUAAGGCCCUGCGGGUCGUAAACCUCUUUUGCCGGGGAGCAGUGGUCCGGACGCGAUCGGCCCGGGAGAGUACCCGGAGAAAAAGCAUCGGCUAACUACGUGCCAGCAGCCGCGGUAAUACGGAGGAUGCGAGCGUUAUCCGGAUUUAUUGGGGUAAAAGGGUGCGUAGGCGGGCAUUUAGGCCAGUGGUAAAAUGUCGGGGCUCAACCCCGGCCUGCCGUCGGAACUGGGAGUCUUGAGUGGGCGAGAAGUAAGGGGAAUGCGUGGUGUAGGGGUGAAAUGCAUAGAUAUCACGCAGAACCCCGAUUGCGAAGGCAGCAUACCAGCGCCCUACUGACGCUGAGGCACGAAAGUGCGGGUAUCGAACAGGAUUAGAUACCCCAGUAGUC
rnacentral:rRNA from 1 species